GACCGCAUCGCCUAACGGACAGGGCAACUGCCUCCUAAGCAGUGAAUUGAGGGUUCAAAUCCCUCUGCGGUCGCCA
rnacentral:tRNA from 2 species